rnacentral:rRNA from 1 species
UCGGGAAUUUUGGGCAAUGGGCGAAAGCCUGACCCAGCAACGCCGCGUGAAGGAUGAAGUAUUUCGGUAUGUAAACUUCGAAAGAAUAGGAAGAAUAAAUGACGGUACUAUUUAUAAGGUCCGGCUAACUACGUGCCAGCAGCCGCGGUAAUACGUAGGGACCAAGCGUUGUUCGGAUUUACUGGGCGUAAAGGGCGCGUAGGCGGCAAUUCAAGUCAUCUGUGAAAUCUCCGGGCUUAACUCGGAACGGUCAGAUGAUACUGCUUUGCUAGAGUGCAGAAGGGGCAAUCGGAAUUCUUGGUGUAGCGGUGAAAUGCGUAGAUAUCAAGAGGAACACCUGAGGUGAAGACGGGUUGCUGGGCUGACACUGACACUGAGGUGCGAAAGCGUGGGGAGCAAACAGGAUUAGAUACCCAAGUAGUCCCUGAGCGGGCUGGCAAGGCGCAU